GGGCGAUUAGCUCAGCGGUAGAGCACACCCUUCACACGGGUGGGGUCGCAAGUUCGAUCCUUGCAUCGCCCACCA
rnacentral:tRNA from 5 species